rnacentral:rRNA from 1 species
AAUCCCGCGAACCAUCGAGUCUUUGAACGCAAGUUGCGCCCGAGGCCACUCGGCCGAGGGCACGCCUGCCUGGGCGUCACGCCAAAACACGCUCCCAACCACUCUCAACGGGAAUCGGGAUGCGGCAUCUGGUCCCUCGUCUCUCAAGGGACGGUGGACCGAAGAUUGGGCUGCCGGCGUACCGCGCCGGACACAGCGCAUGGUGGGCGUCCUCGCUUUAUCAAUGCAGUGCAUCCGGCGCGCAGCUGGCAUUAUGGCCUUUGAACGACCCAACAAACGAAGCGCACGUCGCUUCGACCGCGACCCCAGGUCAGGCGGGACUACCCGCUGAGUUUAAGCAUAUAAAUAAGCGGAGGAGAAGAAACUUACAAGGAUUCCCCUAGUAACGGCGAGCGAACCGGGAGCAGCCCAGCUUGAGAAUCGGGCGGCUGUGCCGUCCGAAU